rnacentral:piRNA from 1 species
UACCUGCCUUGCUAACACCUUUCAGUGA